ACCUUUUCCGGCCUCUGCAGUAGCGCGGGCGGCGCAGUAGCUGGGGACGCGCGGGCCUGGGCCGAGCCUUGCAGGCUGCAGAACAGUUUGGAAAAGCGCUUUUCUGGAUAAUAGUCCAGGCCCUCAUGUUCUCAUCAGAUAAAUGACGGGCCACAGAGCUAGGUGAGAUCCGGACUGGAGGCCCUGCUCGGGAAACUGAUGCCGAGCUCGCUUUCCGCAGCGCAGCAAGGAACCAAAGCCUCUUGCCAACAGCCAUGAGUGUGCACCAUCUUGUGAACAUAUCCUCCAACCCCAGUCAAGUCUCCCAAUGGCUACAGCCCUGCCCGAGAUCUUGACUGCAAUAUCCAGAACCGUAUCUGCCCAGGAUCUGCUUCUGGGACAUCCAGACGACGAGGGUAAGAAAGGAGGAUCCGCUAAAGAAGUUUCAACGGUGAAGGAGAGGUUCCCAUGAGGCAGAGCCAGGGGCCUUGGCUAACUUACAACAUCAGCAGGAUGGCUGGAAUGAUCAGGCCUGGAUUGGCGAUGAACGCAAAGAUCUUGCCCAGGAAGGUUGGAAAAUCAUUUUCAACGGUCUCUUGGAUGACGUCAUACAUUCUGUUUUUCCCACUGGGAAGAAGAGGACACAUUACAGCAUGCUGCAAAACUCACAGGGCACACAACUGUGUGCACGCCCUUCCCAAAGCUGCCGCUCACUACUGAGCCGGAAGAACCACAGAUCUGCCCCUAAUGGACUGCAAAUAAAAAUGCCCCCUAAGGGGCUGCCCUUUUGUCUCAGGAUAAUAGCCAGGUCAGUGCGCUCACAACUUCUCAAACUACAUUGGCCUCCUGCGUCUGACAUCUUAUGGGCUUUCCCCUAUACUCUCAUGGGAGAACAUUGCCUGUAAUAUAGCUAUGGGACUGACCCAGCUUCCCAUGCAUGGGAAUAGUUCUCUAAAGGCUGACGUGAUGGAUGAUCUCAUGGUGCCUUUUGAUUUUUUACUAUCAAGCUCUUUACAGAAAAGCUUAGCUGAUCCCUGGUGUAGAUAAUACUUCUUACCUCAUAGCAUUGUAAUGAGUGCCAGCUACCCCCAACUUGGGCAGGGCUCAGGCUUAACAAACUUGCUCAUAUGCCUUACUGUGGACUUGCACACUCCUCUAAGUACUUUACAAAUAAUAACACACUAAGUCCUCAAAAAAACCCUAUGAGGUAGGCCCUACUGUUAUUUCCAUCUUAUAGGCAUGAACCUGUGGUGUAGGGAGCUAAGAAACUUGCUCAAGAUGACCCAGCUGGCAAGUGGCAGAGCUGGUUCUAGAAUCUAUGCUCUAAAUCAAAGGGCUGGCAAUUCUUUUCUGAAAAGAGAGAGAUAAUAAAGAUUUUAGGUUUUAUGAGCCAGAAGGUCUCUGUUGGCGUUACUCACUUCUGCUGUGGUAUCGAGAAAGCAGCCGUAGAGUAUAUGUAAGCAAACAGGUGUGGCCGUGUUCCAAUAAAACUGUUUAUAAAAGCAGGUUGGUGGUCUGGGUUUGGUCCAUGGGCUACAGUUUACCAACCCCUAUUUUUAACUAUAUGCCGUGCAACGCUGCCCAUUUCAUUUAUUUAUAUUGCUUGUCUGGAUCUGAUCUAAACCCCGAGUCCCUCCAAGUAAAAGUGAAUUUCUGUGAAGUGAAGGAUCUAGUUUAAGCAUUGACUCAGUGUUCUUUUCUAGACAGUGGGUAUAAAGCAGUGAAAAAGGAAGCAAAAAUCACACCCUCAUGGAGCUUAUGUCCUGGUGGAGGAGACAGACAACAAACAAGAUAAAUAGGCAGAAGGAAUGGCAGGUAGACGUUAGUAAGGAGAUAGAAUAAGCAGAAACAAUGGUGUGUGUGUGUGUGUGGCAUUUUCCUUAGGGUCUCCAGAGAAGGCCUCACUGAAAAGGUGACCUUUGAAUAAAGACCUGAAGCAAGUGAGAGGAAGCAUUGAAAAUAUCUAC